rnacentral:rRNA from 1 species
UACGGAGGGGGUAAGCGUUGUUCGGAAUUACUGGGCGUAAAGGGCGCGUAGGCGGCCAUGCGUGUCUUUCGUGAGAUCCCUCGGCUUAACUGAGGACGUGCGGAAGAAACUGCAAGGCUUGAGUCCGGGAGAGGGGGGUGGAAUUCCCAGUGUAGCGGUGAAAUGCGUAGAUAUUGGGAGGAACACCGGUGGCGAAGGCGGCCCCCUGGACCGGUACUGACGCUGAGGCGCGAAAGCGUGGGUAGCAAACGGG